rnacentral:rRNA from 1 species
GACGAACGCUGGCGGCGUGCCUAAUACAUGCAAGUCGAACGCAGUGGGGACGGGUGAGUAACACGUGGGUAACCUCCCAUCAGAGGGGAUAACACUUGGAAACAGGUGCUAAACCGAUACUGAUGGAUGGACCCGCGGUGCAUUAGCUGGUUGGUGAGGUAACGGCUCACCAAGGCCACGAUGCAUAGCCGCCCUUGGAUGGUUAUCGGCCACACUGGGAAUGAGACCCGGCCGAGACUCCUACGGGACGCCGCUGUAGGUAAUCUUCUGCGAUGCACGAAAGUCUGGCCGAGCAACGCCGCGUGGGUGAAGAAUGUUUUCGUCUCGUAAACCUCUGUUGUUAGAGAAGCGGUAUCUAACCAGAACGCCACGGCUAACUACGCGCCAGCCGCCGCUAAUUC